UCUACGGUCGAGUGGUAAAGACAUUUGCCUUUCACCCUGGAGUCCUGGGUUCGAUUCCUGAUUGAGGAG